rfam:Salmo salar isolate Sally breed double haploid chromosome ssa03, whole genome shotgun sequence.
UCCCUUGUGGCUCAGUUGGUAGAGCAUGGUGUUUGCAACGCCAGGGUUGUGGGUUUGAUUCCCACGGGGGAC